UACAGAGGUCCCGAGCGUUGUUCGGAUUCAUUGGGCGUAAAGGGUGCGUAGGCGGCUGGGUAAGUUUGAUGUGAAAUCCUGGGGCUCAACCCUGGAACUGCAUUGAAUACUGCUCGGCUAGAGUACUGGAGAGGAAACUGGAAUUCACGGUGUAGCAGUGAAAUGCGUAGAUAUCGUGAGGAAGACCAGUGGCGAAGGCGAGUUUCUGGACAGUUACUGACGCUGAGGCACGAAGACCAGGGGAGCAAACGGG
rnacentral:rRNA from 1 species